rnacentral:rRNA from 1 species
CUGGCAAUCAGGAUAGUGGCGAACGGGUGAGUAACACGUAGGUGACCUGCCCCGAAGAGGGGGAUAACCGCUGGAAACGGUGGCUAAUACCCCAUGUAGUCGUGAGGGUUAGAGGCCUCAUGAUUAAAGCUCCGGCGCUUUGGGAGGGGCCUGCGGCUUAUCAGCUAGUUGGUGGGGUAAUGGCUCACCAAGGCAAUGACGGGUAGCUGGUCUGAGAGGACGAUCAGCCACAUGGGCACUGAGACACGGGCCCGACUCCUACGGGAGGCAGCAGUGAGGGAUAUUGCGCAAUGGGCGAAAGCCUGACGCAGCAACGCCGCGUGGGCGAUGAAGGCCUUCGGGUUGUAAAGCCCUUUUCUGGGGGAAGAGGAAGGACGGUACCCCAGGAAUAAGUCCCGGCUAACUACGUGCCAGCAGCCGCGGUAAAACGUAGGGGACAAGUGUUAUCCGGAUUCACUGGGCGUAAAGCGCGUGCAGGUGGUGCUUUAAGUUGGGCGUGAAAUCUCCCGGCUUAACUGGGAGGAGUCGUUCAAUACUGGAGCACUUGAGGGCAGGAGAGGAAAGUGGAAUUCCCGGU